AGCCCAAGCUUAAAACCCAAAGGACUUGACGGUGUCCCACCCACCUAGAGGAGCCUGUUCUAUAAUCGAUUAUCCCCGAUACACCCCACCACUUCUAGCCUUUCAGCCUGUAUACCUCCGUCGUAAGCUCACCAUAUGAAUGCUUUUUAGUGAGCUAAAAGAUUUCCACAUAAAUACGUCAGGUCAAGGUGCAGCCAACGAAGUGGCAAGUAAUGGGCUACAAUUUCUACAAUUAGAACACAACGAAAGACCGCAUGCAACUCGGUCAUGAAGGUGGAUUUAGAAGUAAAAAGAAAGUAGAGAGUUCUUUUUAAUUAGGCACUGGGACGCGUACACACCGCCCGUCACCCUCUUCAAACGCCUUAAUUCAGUACAUAACAAUUAUAUGCACAACAGAAGAGGUAAGUCGUAACACGGUAAGCGUACUGGAAAGUGCGCUUGGAUAAACAAAAUGUAGCUUAAUCAAAGCAUCUCGCUUACACCGAGAAUAUAUCUGUGAUACCCGGAUCAUCUUGAGCUAAAAACUUAGCUUAAUCCAUUCUAAUGUACAACCCCCCCCCCCCAGACAAAUAAAACAUUUUCUACAUUUAGUAAAGGCGAUUAAAAAAUGUCUCAAAGCUAUAUAAUUAGUACCGCGAGGGAAAAGUGAAAUAAUAAUGAAAAACUUCAAGCACAUAAAAGCAGAGCUGCAACCUCGUACCUUUUGCAUCAUGGUCUAACUAGUCUAAUCAAGCAAAACGAACUUUAAGUCUGACCCCCCGAAACUAGGUGAGCUACUUAAAAACAGCCUCAUGGGCCAACCCGUCUCUGUUGCAAAAGAGUGGGAUGAUUUUUAAGUAGAGGUGAUAAACCUACCGAACCUAGAGAUAGCUGGUUAUUCAGGAAAAGGAUUUAAGUCCUACCUUAGGUUUUCUGUAUAUAUAAAUACAUUUUUAACCUUAAGAGCUAUUCAAAUAAGGUACAGCCUAUUUGAAACAGGAUACAACCUCACCUAUUGGGUAACACCUUUUAUAUUCCCUCAAGUGGGCCUAAAAGCAGCCACCUUUUAAAAAGCGUUAAAGCUUUAUUAACCGUUUGUAAAAAUUCCAUUAACUACCUGUAACCCUCAACCUGUACUGAAUGAUUUCAUAAUUUUAUGAAAACCUAUAUGUUAGAACUAGUAACAAGAAGAAGCCCUUCUCCAAAAUGUAAGCAUAAGCCAAAAUGAACCACUCAUUGGCAUUUAAAGUUAAUAAACCACAAGUAGUAACUUAACAAGAAAAAACUACUAAUUAUAACGUCAACCUUACACUAGUACAUUUCUGGAAAGACUAAAAGAAUGGGAAGGAACUCGGCAAACAAUUAACCUCGCCUGUUUACCAAAAACAUCGCCUCCUGCAUUUUAUAGGAGGUCCAGCCUGCCCAGUGACAAAGUUAAACGGCCGCGGUACCCUAACCGUGCAAAGGUAGCGCAAUCAUUUGUUCUUUAAAUGAGGACUAGUAUGAACGGCAUCACGAAGGUUAUACUGUCUCCCCACUCUAUUCAGUGAAACUGAUCUCCCCGUGAAGAAGCGGGAAUAAAAAUAUAAGACGAGAAGACCCCAUGGAGCUUUAAACUCAGUAACAACUGCUAUUUUUAAGCCUAGUAUUUACACAGCCAUGAUUACUAGUUUUUGGUUGGGGUGACCGCGGAGUAGAACUUAACCUCCAUGAUGAAAGGAAGUAUUAACCUAAACCAAGAGCGACAGCUCAAAGUAUUAAUAAAUUAACUAAUUGACCCAAUUACUUGAUCAACGAACUAAGUUACCCUGGGGAUAACAGCGCAAUCCAUUUCAAGAGCUCAUAUCGACAAAUGGGUUUACGACCUCGAUGUUGGAUCAGGGUAUCCCAGUGGCGCAGCAGCUACUAACGGUUCGUUUGUUCAACGAUUA
rnacentral:rRNA from 1 species